UGCCUUUUCUCUUCUGGUCAUUUCAUAUAAUUUAAUGGAAUUUGUUAAGAUGAGAAUGUACUUCUUAAAAAAAAUUCAAAACUAGAUUUUUGUUCUUUUUUCCAGGUAAGACUCCUUUUUGGAUAUAGUUUGUAUUUUUUUUUGCCCUCUAGCAUUACAUAUGUAUUCAUCUCAAUCAUGUAGGAUUUUGGUUUUUUUUAUAUUCUUUCGUUGGCUAAUUCUGCCCAGUACUCGCAACAAAAAUUUGCUAUGUAUCUUCAGUUGGUUGGACGCUUUAAAUGUUCUGCGUGUUCUUGGAUUUCACUUGAUUCUGUUCUUCUAUGGAUUGUACUUUAUGCAUGAGGCAUGUUUCAUUCUAAAAGUUUUUAAGUGAUUUUGUUUUGGAAAAUUUGGGGAAUAUGGCAUGGUGGGAGUCGAUGAUCGAUAUCUAUAUUUGAUUUUCUUCUCAUGAAUUGCUAGUUCCUUUAUUGGGAUUUGUUUGGUUCAUGCAGUGAAACCUUUGCUUGGAAGAUGACCUAUGAUCUUAUUACUCAGGACAUAAGCUCAAGUAACUAAACCAUUUUUGCAUUUCUUUUUUAUAGAAUAAUGAUAGGAAUAAAGUUGAAAAUGGGAUUCCAAAUAAGAUUGAUAGACAAGAGACACCACAAAGUGAUUGGAAUAUAAUUGAACCUGGUUAGAUUACAUACAUAGAUGCUUCCAAGGUAUCAUAUGAUCGAUGCAUACCUUGGUAACUUAAAAGGAAAUUUUAUAGAAUGGAAAUAAUACUUGGUAUGUUGUAUGGCUUAAGAUGUUGGGCAAUAAAAAGGUCCAAGAAGAUCAGGCAAGUGUAGUGGUAAUAAGCAUGUUAAGAUAGAUUUGUGAUUAGACUAGGAAGGGUUGAAUGAGAUAUUAGUAUUUUAGAGGAGAUGUGGAGUUGCACAAAUUAAAGGCAUGGCAAUGGAGAAUUGAUUGAAAUGGUAUAUGCUUGUAGAGUGAGGAUCUGAGAGGGCUUUAGUAAGAAGAGGUAUUUUAACUUGUGUUUAAGGUGUAGAAAAAAAAAGGGAAGAUCUAAGGUGACAUAAAUGAAGAUUGAGAGAAAAGAUAUAGAAAAGCUAGAAAUAACAUCAUAUGCUAUCCUAAAUAGAAAUUCUUAGUGAAUGAAGAUCAAUAAAAUGAUUUCUAAUAGUUGAGACAAGGUUGGUGGUUACGGUUAUGGUCACAACUCUAGGAGCACGAACAUCUCAGGUCAAACUUGGAAAUCUCCCUAGCUGUAGCACAGAGGAGAGCUGCCAACUAGCAAAAGUUGCAUUAGCAAGUAAAUUAAAUUUUUCAUCAAACUAAAAAAAUAUAUAUGUAUGAUAAUGUCAAGUAAGUUAACAGGAUAGAGUGAUUUUGCUCUCUAUCCUUAAGGAAAACAAUGUCUCUAUUUUGGAGUCUAUAUUACAGGAAGAAUGUGGGAUGAUAUGUGUUGUAUUUUCUUUAUAUGUUCUAUUCAAGAUUGUGCUUACAAGUUUGUUUUCAUUAUAUUUGUUAGAGUUAUGCUUAUUUAAUAAGUCCUUACAAAGGAAGGACAUAUUUAGUAUGUCUCUAAACUUAGUAUAUCUCUAAACAUGGUAUGUAUUUGCUUUUCAAGUAUGUACUUCUUUUUUUAUAUACUUGUUUCUCAUUUAUUUAAAGAGAUCGGAUCUCAUUAAUGAAUUGAAUUUCUUUUGAAUUUUUUCUUUCAACAUAGUACCAGAGCGGUUGCUGCACCUUCUCCACAAUCCUAGCCCUCUGCCACUCCUUCCACAACAGGCCGUAGCAACCUGCAUCGCAGCCCCUCCUCUUCGUCGACAAUGUUCAAAGCCCAAGCCGCACCAAGGUUCCAACUCCCUUCUCUGAAAUCCUACCUAUCUCCUUCCUUCUCAAAGCCUUUUAAACCACCGCCACAGCCACUUUCUAUCUUCUCAUCAGCCUUCUUCAUUUCCCUCUUCCUCCACCAUUAGAGAUCUUUAACGAUGGUUGCCUCUGGUUCUUACUAAAAUCCUAGCCGCCGUCUAGGACUUUGGAUUCUUGUCCUUACUGGAUCCUUACUACUGCAAUCUUGAAAUCAAUCUAUUCAGUCCAUCUUUUGCCAUCUUGAAGGUCUGAUUAAUGCUUCUGCUUGUUGUUUGUUGAAAUCUGCUUGUGAUUCUACAAGAUUGGCUGAGAGAUCUUCUAUGCAUCCCGAGGAGCAAUCUGUUUUUGGACAAAUCAACAUAGGUUUCUUUCCUAUACCAUGCAAAAGUUCUUUGGCUAUCUUUCUAGCUAUCUACUAAUCACAAAAGUGGUACACUACUCGUGAUUUCUUUGGUUGCCAUGUAAAGGUAUUCUUUCUUCCCUUUCUUACUGUCUGACUGUCUGAUUGUUUCUGUCCUCCUCUCUGACUGCUAUGGCAUCAUUAAAUCACAACAAUAAACAACUCUCGAUGCCUCUAACCUCCGAUUCUGAUGCUGUGACAAGGAAUUUAACAACAACUAUAUCAAAGCUCAAUGGCAGUAACUAUCUUUUGUGGGCUCAAUCAUUCAAACUAUUUAUUGAUGUUCAAUGAAAGGCACAGCACGUGGCUGAAAAUCCUUCAAAUUUUAAAGAUCCUAUCUAUGACGACUGGCUGGUUAGUGACUAUUGUGCUAUAUCAUGGUUGUUGAAUAAUAUAGAGGAAAAGGUUAGUGUUGGUGUCAUGUUCCUGAAAAUGGCUAAACAAAUCUGAGACACCCUCAAAAAGAUACUGACAUUUUGACUAAGUCUCUGUCUUCUGAUAUUUUCAACUCUAUGUAUAACAAGCUGAGCAUGUUGAUAUAUAUGCUCCAGCUUGAAGGAAAGUAUUGGAAUUAUACUUAUUUAAUAAGUUCUUAUAUAGGAAUAACAUAUUUAGUAUGUCUCUAAACUUAGUAUAUCUCUAAAUAUGAUAUAUACUUGCUUUCCAAGUAUGUACUUCUUUCCUUAUGUACUUCUUUUUCAUCUGGUUAAAGAGAUGGGAUCUAAUUAAUGAAUUGAAUUCCUUUUGAGUUUUUCUUUCAACAAUAUUCAUAUAAGUUUUCUUGGGACCAACAAUUCCUUGAUUUAUGUCUUCUUAAGGAUUUCUAAGUUCUAAAAUGCAAGUCAUUAGGCUAAGACAAACUCUUCGAUCAAUUCAAAAUGGUUGACCAUGCUUUUUUUUUCACUUAUUUAUUGGCAAAAGUUUUGGAGAUCAAAAUAAAUUGAGCUUCACUUUCUAAUAUUGUAAGUGGAUUUUAAAUUGUGAUGUUUAGUCCGGGAAGCAGUUCCAGAUGAAUUUGGGCAUGCCUGAUGAAUGACUUUUGUGAAUUUUGUUUUCCAUUAUCUUCCUGUAUAUUCACCAGCAUUUUGUUUUGCUCCUCUGUAUUUUCACACAGAUCUCAUACAGUUUGAUUUUGAUAGAACGGUGGCUGUAUCUUAGAGAGAACUGAAGUGUGUUUUGGCUGACCAAUAUGACUUCCCGACGCCAUGUUCGUUACCAACCUCUGGCUGCAGAUGAGAGAGACAGUGAUAGUAGUGGUGAAGAAAAGGAUGUAGAUCUUCGAUAUCUUUACAUCCCAAAGUCCUGCAAGAAGAUUCCAUGGAAGUCAAUUGCCCUUGCACUUUUCCUCCUUGCACUAGGAUCAGCGCUUCUUUUUCUCUCUUUCUUUGUGUUCACAGGACACAUGGCAGGUGAUCAGUCCCAGGCUUAUGCAUUUUUAUUGCUUGGAAUUCUUGCUUUCCUUCCUGGAUUUUAUGAGACACGGGUUGCCUAUUAUUCAUGGAGGGGAGCCCAAGGGUACACAUUUGCUUCUAUCCCUGAUUAUUAGGUUUCAGAAGUCAAGGAGAUGAAACCAUUUAUUAAGUGUUGUUGAGCUGUCAAUCUCUUCUUGAAAUAUUCCCUUGGAUAAAUCGUGGUGACAAUGUUCGAUGUUUGCAAGUUAAAUGAUGAUUCAAAACAAACAACUUGGUGAAAGCUCUGAUAAAGUAACAAAGCAUUGAUUCUUUCAUACUGAUGGUUUUCCUUUAUCCUCUACCAACAGAAAGGAAGCUAUGGUUCUUCAAAUUCUGUAUGGCUUAUAUUUGGGUCCGUACUGCUGAACUUUGUUGUACGAGGAUUUCAUAUUUUAUGUUGCAUGAACUCGUCAAUGCAACAAAGGCAGGGGCUAUGGGUACAUAAACAAUGAGGAUACCACAUUGAAGUCUUUCUUUGUCUCU